UCUAAUGGUCAAGAAGAGAAGAAGAAGAAAAGGAAAUGGUUUGCCUAUUUGAUUUUGAUAAUCAUCGGUACGUGCGGAAUCGGUAAUAUGGUUUGCAGAUAGCCACUAUAAUUUCUCCUCGCUUCUCCGGAUUGAUGCAUCGAAGAAUUUUCAGAAGGGUUUUCUUCAAUUUUGUCAUCAUGCUGAGAUGAUAAAUCUUUGGAGGGAUGGCUUAUCUACACGUGUUUCCUGCUUCUAGUUUUCAACUCAGCUCAGUUCAGGGUUUCACUAUUAUUAUUAUCUCAGAUUUAUUCUCAGCAUGGAACAUCAUCUGGAGAUUGAUAAAAUCAUAAAACUGAGAGUCAUGAAACCGAGAAGAAAAAGGAGCUAUGCAUGAAUACCAAAAUACAGAGAAAUAAACAUCCAAGGAAGAAUUGGAAGAACAAAUUGAAGAGGAGAACAAAAGCCUCAGAUGGCAGCAAGUGUUGAAGAAAAGGAUCAGAUGGUACCAAAUGUCAAUGAAGUUGCUAGAGAAUUUGAACAAGGAACUGAUGAUGUAGACUUCCCAACUCUAAAAAUUCGAGGAUAGCAGAAUGCCCCACCCCUUGCUGUUUUGUGAGUAA